GACGAACGCUGGCGGCGUGCCUAAUACAUGCAAGUCGAACGCUUUUUCUUUCACCGGAGCUUGCUCCACCGAAAGAAAAAGAGUGGCGAACGGGUGAGUAACACGUGGGUAACCUGCCCAUCAGAAGGGGAUAACACUUGGAAACAGGUGCUAAUACCGUAUAACACUAUUUUCCGCAUGGAAGAAAGUUGAAAGGCGCUUUUGCGUCACUGAUGGAUGGACCCGCGGUGCAUUAGCUAGUUGGUGAGGUAACGGCUCACCAAGGCAACGAUGCAUAGCCGACCUGAGAGGGGGAUCGGCCACACUGGGACUGAGCAACGGCCCAGACUCCUACGGGAGGUAGCAGUAGGGAAUCUUCGGCAAUGGACGAAAGUCUGACCGAGCAACGCCGCGUGAGUGAAGAAGGUUUUCGGAUCGUAAAACUCUGUUGUUAGAGAAGAACAAGGAUGAGAGUAAAACGUUCAUCCCUUGACGGUAUCUAACCAGAAAGCCACGGCUAACUACGUGCCAGCAGCCGCCGUAA
rnacentral:rRNA from 1 species